rnacentral:lncRNA from 1 species
GUGGAGGCGCGUCCCGGGCCCUUUGCGUGUAGUGGGUGGCUCUGCAAUUGUAUUCCUGUUUCAAGCCCCGUUUUCUUGCAGCUCUUCGGCACUGCAAACUUAACCGCUGAUGGCGCUGUGGGUGGAGAAACGUUUGUUAGGCAACAACAGAAUUCUGCGAAACUUGGUUGGUUGGAGGAGCACACCAAAAAUAAAGUACCGGAGCCAGCACGGCUUCAAAAAAAUUAGGAUCAGUACCGCUAGUAGCGAACGCAUAAGAAGGG